rnacentral:rRNA from 1 species
GACAGAGGGUGCAAACGUUGUUCGGAAUUACUGGGCGUAAAGCGCGUGUAGGUGGUGGGACAAGUCUGCUGUGAAAGCUCCCGGCUUAACUGGGAGAGGUCGUUGAAGACUGGGAGACUUGAGGCAAUGAGAGGGGUGUAGAAUUCCUGGUGUAGUGGUGGAAUGCGUAGAUAUCAGGAGGAAUACCAGUGGCGAAAGCGGCACCCUAGCGUUGUUCUGACGCUCAUGUGCGAAAGCGUGGGGAGCGAACGGG